rnacentral:rRNA from 1 species
UACGUAGGUGCGAGCGUUGUCCGGAAUUAUUGGCGUAAAGAGCUCGUAGGCGGUUUGUCACGUCUGCUGUAGAAAUCCGAGCUCAACCGUCGGGCCUGCAGUGGGUACGGGCAGACGUGGAGUGCGGGUAGGGGAGAAUGGAAUUCCUGGUGUAGCGGUGGAAUGCGCAGAUAUCAGGAGGAACACCGAUGGCGAAGGCAGGUCUCUGGGCCACUACUGACGCUGAGAAGCGAAAGCAUGGGGAGCGAACAGG